rnacentral:lncRNA from 1 species
CAUGAUGGAACUGGGUUUUAGCAAAGAUUUGGAGUAGAAAAGCCAUUUGACGUGUUUUGUGAUAAAAUAUACAAAGCACAUAAUUAUUUUCUUCAUCCCAAACAGAAAUUCUGUACCUUUUUUUGUUGAGAUGGAGUCUCACUCUGUUGCACAAGCUGGAGUGUGGUGGCACGAUCUCAGCUCACCACGACCUCUGCCUCCCAUAUUCAAGGGAUUCUCCUGCCUCAGCCUCCUGAGUAGCUGGGAUUACAAGCAUGCGCCACCAUGCCCAGCUAAUUUUUUAUUUUUAUAGACAGGGGGUUUCUCCAUGUUGGUCAGGCUGGUCUUGAACUCCCCACCUCAGGUGAUCCACUCUAGCAAAUUGGAAGAUGUCAGUUUUGUAACUUCAAAGGUAACUUUAAAGUCUACUUGUUAAAUAGACCUUAAUAAGUCUAUUUAAUAGCCCAUAAGUUUGUAGCACAUUUUAUAUGUGUGUUUGUGUAUAUACAUACAUAUAUAUACACACACACACACACACCUUGAUAGCCUUUAUUGUUCAAAAUCCUCUACGGUUUCCUUUAGCACUGGAACAAGAAUCCACGCUCUAAUAUGCGUGGAAGAGCCCAUGCUAUCUGGCCCUGACUCCUUCUACUUUCUUCUUCCCUCCCUUCCCGUUGCUCACCUGACUCCAACCAUAUUGCUGUGACAAUGCUUUGUAACAAACAAUUCCCAAAUCUCAGUAGCCUACAGAUACAAACUUUUUUUUUUUUUUUUAACUUGCAAGGUCUGUGAAUUGGUUGGCGUGACAUUGUUUUAGGCUAUGGGUCAAGUUCUAGUCUGCAACGUAUGUCUCUCAUACUGGGUCCAGCAGCUACACUGGGCAUGCUUUUCUCGCAGCAGAUAGCAGCAAAGAACCCAAACAGAACUACCCGAGCACACACAGACCUCUGCUCAUGUU